rnacentral:rRNA from 1 species
AUUGAACGCUGGCGGCAGGCCUAACACAUGCAAGUCGAGCGGAUGAAGGGAGCUUGCUCCUGGAUUCAGCGGCGGACGGGUGAGUAAUGCCUAGGAAUCUGCCUGGUAGUGGGGGAUAACGUCCGGAAACGGGCGCUAAUACCGCAUACGUCCUGAGGGAGAAAGUGGGGGAUCUUCGGACCUCACGCUAUCAGAUGAGCCUAGGUCGGAUUAGCUAGUUGGUGGGGUAAAGGCCUACCAAGGCGACGAUCCGUAACUGGUCUGAGAGGAUGAUCAGUCACACUGGAACUGAGACACGGUCCAGACUCCUACGGGAGGCAGCAGUGGGGAAUAUUGGACAAUGGGCGAAAGCCUGAUCCAGCCAUGCCGCGUGUGUGAAGAAGGUCUUCGGAUUGUAAAGCACUUUAAGUUGGGAGGAAGGGCAGUAAGCUAAUACCUUGCUGUCUUGACGUUACCAACAGAAUAAGCACCGGCUAACUUCGUG